AGCAGUCGCCGCGGGAAUACGUAGGUCCCGAGCGUUGUCCGGAUUUAUUGGGCGUAAAGCGAGCGCAGGCGGUUAGAUAAGUCUGAAGUUAAAGGCUGUGGCUUAACCAUAGUAUGCUUUGAAAACUGUUUAACUUGAGUGCAGAAGGGGAAAGUGGAAUUCCAUGUGUAGCGGUGAAAUGCGUAGAUAUAUGGAGGAACACCGGUGGCGAAAGCGGCUCUCUGGUCUGUAACUGACGCUGAGGCUCGAAAGCGUGGGGAGCAAACAGGAUUAGAUACCCGUGUAGUCCCUGUCUCUUAUACA
rnacentral:rRNA from 1 species